rnacentral:rRNA from 1 species
AGAACGAACGCUGGCGGCAUGCCUAACACAUGCAAGUCGGACGCUUUCGGGGGUUUCGGCCUCCGAGGGAGUGGCGGACGGGUGAGUAGCGCGUGGGAACCUGCCCCUUUGUGGGGGAUAACCGAGGGAAACUUCGGCUAAUACCGCAUGCGCCCGGGGGUAACUCCGGGGAAAGAUUUAUCGCAGAGGGAGGGGCCCGCGUCGGAUUAGGUAGUUGGUGGGGUAACGGCCUACCAAGCCGGUGAUCCGUAGCUGGUCUGAGAGGAUGAUCAGCCACACUGGGACUGAGACACGGCCCAGACUCCUACGGGAGGCAGCAGUGGGGAAUAUUGGACAAUGGGCGCAAGCCUGAUCCAGCAAUGCCGCGUGAGUGAUGAAGGCCUUAGGGUUGUAAAGCCCUUUCGGCGGGGAAGAUAAUGACGGUACCGCAGAAGAGCCCCGGCUAACUUCGCGCCAGCAGCCGC